GCCGCUUUAGCUCAGUUGGGAGAGCGUUAGACUGAAGAUCUAAAGGUCCUGUGUUCAAUCCACAGAAGCGGCA
rnacentral:tRNA from 1 species